rnacentral:rRNA from 1 species
UACGAAGGGGGCUAGCGCUGCUCGGAAUGACUGGGCGUAAAGGGCGCGUAGGCGGCGAUGAUAGUCAGGCGUGAAAUUCCUGGGCUCAACCUGGGGACUGCGCUUGAUACGUUAUUGCUUGAGUUCGGAAGAGGGUCGUGGAAUUCCCAGUGUAGAGGUGAAAUUCGUAGAUAUUGGGAAGAACACCGGUGGCGAAGGCGGCGACCUGGUCCGACACUGACGCUGAGGCGCGAAAGCGUGGGGAGCAAACAGG